UUUUAGCCCAUAAGAAUAGAAACAGAUGCCAGGCCAAUAACUCAAA
rnacentral:sRNA from 1 species